UUCUCCAUCAUGUACCCUUCCCUCCCUAGCUUCUCCCAUGAGCAUCUAAUCCAACUAUAACCUUUAAUUUUUACACAUGGUUCUGCUUCCCCAGCUGAUCUCCUACUGAUAGAAUAACCAACACUUUGCACUAUGGGAGCUGCAGAAGAAAUAAGUCUGUAAUCUCAAGGGGCUUGCAACUCACAGAGGAGAAGGAGCAUUUUAACCCAGCCAGCUGGGGACUCAUGGCAGCUUGUGGUCUCGGGCCCCUUAUCAAUACGAGAAUGGAAAGAAAGUUUCUGACAUAUUGGAUGAAAAUGUGGCGUGCAGAUGGAAACAAAUGCUGACAUUGAAGAUUUCCCCUCCAGCCAACAGAAAUUUCCCCUGCCCACCACACUUGGGGUUAAAUACCAAAGAAAAAUAAUAUCUGAGAAAGAAAAGAUCCAGAAUUGCAGCUCGAGAUUAAAUCAUGGAUAACAUCAAAGGAAGCUUCUUGGCCGGCGCCGUGGCUCUCUAGGCUAAUCCUCCGCCUAGCAGCGCCGGCACACCAGGUUCUAGUCCCGGUUGGGGCACCGGAUUCUGUCCCGGUUGCCCCUCUUCCAGGCCAGCUCUCUGCUGUGGCCAGGGAGUGCAGUGGAGGAUGGCCCAGGUGCUUGGGCCCUGCACCCCAUGGGAGACCAGGAAAAGCACCUGGCUCCUGGCUCCUGGCUCCUGCCAUCGGAUCAGCGCGGUGCGCCGGCCACAGCGCGCCGGCUGCUGCGGCCAUUGGAGGGUGAACCAACGGCAAAGGAAGACCUUUCUCUCUGUCUCUCUCUCUCACUGUCCACUC